rnacentral:rRNA from 1 species
AUUGAACGCUAGCGGGAUGCUUUACACAUGCAAGUCGAACGGCAGCGCGGACUUCGGUCUGGCUGCGAGUGGCGAACGGGUGAGUAAUGUAUCUGAACGUGCCCAGUAGCGGGGGAUAACUACGCGAAAGCGUAGCUAAUACCGCAUACGCCCUACGGGGGCAAGCAGGGGAUCGUAAGACCUUGCACUCUUGGAGCGGCCGAUAUCGGAUUAGCUAGUUGGUGAGGUAACGGCUCACCAAGGCGACGAUCCGUAGCUGGUUUGAGAGGACGACCAGCCACACUGGGACUGAGACACGGCCCAGACUCCUACGGGAGGCAGCAGUGGGGAAUUUUGGACAAUGGGGGCAACCCUGAUCCAGCCAUCCCGCGUGUGCGAUGAAGGCCUUCGGGUUGUAAAGCACUUUUGGCAGGAAAGAAACGUCGCGGGCUAAUACCCCGUGGAACUGACGGUACCUGCAGAAUAAGCACCGGCUAACUACGUG